CCUAAGGUAGCGAAAUUCCUUGUCAGGUAAGUUCUGACCCGCACGAAAGGUGUAACGAUUUGGGCGCUGUCUCGGCAGCAGACUCGGUGAAAUCUUAGUACCUGUGAAAAUGCAGGUUACCCGCAACUAGACGGAAAGACCCCAUGGAGCUUUACUGCAGCCUGAUAUUGAAUUCUGGUCAUACAUGUACAGGAUAGGUGGGAGACAAAGAGACGUGCACGCCAGUGUACGAGGAGUCGACGUUGGGAUACCACUCUUGUGUGACCGGGGUUCUAACCUGGUAUCGAAAACAGGUACGGGGAGAGUGUCAGGUGGGCAGUUUGACUGGGGCGGUCGCCUCCCAAAGAGUAACGGAGGCGCCCAAAGGUACGCUCAGAUUGGAUGGAAACCAAUCGACGAGUGCAAUUGCAGAAGCGUGCUUGACUGUGAGACUUACAAGUCGAACAGGGACGAAAGUCGGGAAUAGUGAUCCGGCGGUGCCGAAUGGAAGGGCCGUCGCUCAACGGAUAAAAGCUACCCUGGGGAUAACAGGCUGAUCUCGCCCAAGAGUUCACAUCGACGGCGAGGUUUGGCACCUCGAUGUCGGCUCAUCGCAUCCUGGAGCUGGAUUCGGUUCCAAGGGUUGGGCUGUCCGCCCAUUAAAGCGGUACGCGAGCUGGGUUCAGAACGUCGUGAGACAGUUCGGUCCCUAUCUGUUGUGGGCGAAGGAGAUCUGCGGAGAGCUGUCCUCAGUACGAGAGGACCGGGAUGGACCUACCGCUGGUGCACCGGUUGUUCCGCCAGGGGCAUAGCCGGGUAGCUAAGUAGGGAAAGGAUAAGCGCUGAAAGCAUCUAAGCACGAAGCCUACUCCAAGAUGAGAUCUCCCAUUCGCAAGAAGUAAGACCCCUUAAAGACGAUAAGGUAGAUAGGCCAGAGAUGGAAGUGCAGUGAUGUACGGAGUUGACUGGUACUAAUCGGUCGAGGACUUAAUCAG
rnacentral:rRNA from 1 species